UGGACGGAGAACGCAGCGGAGCAGCGACGGAAAAAGGAGGGGUGGUCGGAGGAGAAGGCGAAGGCGGCCGACCGCAGCCAAAGUUUCCGAAAAGUGGCUACGAUCCCGGCGGUCCUGUUGGUCCUGACGCCUUGCCUACAUUUGUGUGGUUAGAGUGUGUCUUCUCUUGCAGAUGGUUUUGCUCUCUUUCCUUUUUUUCAAACUUUUGAAGUCGCAGAGAAAGCCAGCAAGUUCCGAGCUUUGAAACUUGAAAGCAUGAAGCGCGAAGUAACGAUGUGGAGAAUGGGCCAUAUUCAAACCCCACUCAGCCCAUUUGGAACUAUCGGGCCUUCAGUUACACGGGCCGCAUCACAUAACCGAUGACAAAAAGUUCAAAUCAAAUGUUGCAUGACCUGAUUCGUCAAUGAAAGCUUCUGUCCCCGCUGCCCACGUGUUCAUCAACCAACCUUCAUCGGCCAUCGUCUUUCAACGCGUCAGUCAUCUUCGAAUGGUUGGGUUCCAUUUGUUUCUCACAAACCUGACCUUCUUUGUUGGCUUCCACUGGUCUUCCAUUAGCUGCGCCGAUUCCAGUUUUAUUAGUAAUUUUCAGAGAAACGCAUCUGUGUUGCCGGUUCCGUCCUCAUUUGAAGAAGGUUUCGCAAGUGGCUGUAAUUUCAUGAUUGAGGGGCUUUAGAGGUUGGGAAGUAAGCAUCUUUGAUGGCUCUGUUUGACUGUCUAAGUCUUCAUAUUCCAGUGAAAGACUCUUAUGAAGAGCUAGGCAACCACAAAACAACAAUCUCCUUAGAUUAAGCCCUUAAGGUGAAAGAACCCAAAAGAGAGCUCUGCUCAUGCAAGUGUCAGAGAGCUUUUGGUGUACAUGUAAAGGAAAAGUACGCAAUAAUUCCAAUAAUAUUUUUCUUCAAAGAUUGUCAAGCAUAUAGUUUUCAGUGAUCUCUGGACAAUCCCUAUAUAUGCAUUGUAUUUGUGUAUUAGUUUCACGCUUCUUCUUAGAUUCUUCGAGCAUUUAGCUUUUUAGAAUAUUAUUUUUGAUAAAAGCUGUUGUAGUA